rnacentral:sRNA from 1 species
UAAUACAGUCUGGUUGGAAUCUCUUGGAUACGCUUAUAUUGAUAUCCGACCUCCGAAUCGGGUGUAAGCUGCUCCCAGAGGAAAACAAAGGGAAGCGCCGAGGCGGUAAACAGCACAUUCAACAGUAUGUAGGAAAUGGCGAAAUGCAUGUCAACGGAUCCUUCAGCGCGGGGGCGGGGAUUCAAGAAUUCCCAUAUACAGAGGAGCAUUCCUCAUAGAUACUAGAAGUGUGGGAUUGGAUUCUAAUGUUUGUGACAGAAUAACAACACAACUUCAAAAACGCAUUUUCUGUCUGUUUCCAAAUGAGAAAGGAC